rnacentral:rRNA from 1 species
AUACGGAGGGGGCUAGCGUUGUUGGGAAUUACUGGGCGUAAAGCGCACGUAGGCGGAUUAAAAAGUUAGAGGAGAAAUCCCAGGGCUUAACCCUGGAACUGCCUUUAAAACUAGUAGUCUAGAGUUCGAGAGAGGUGAGUGGAAUUCCAAGUGUAGAGGUGAAAUUCGUAGAUAUUUGGAGGAACACCAGUGGCGAAGGCGGCUCACUGGCUCGAUACUGACGCUGAGGUGCGAAAGCGUGGGGAGCAAACAGGAUUAGAUACCCUAGUAGUCC